GACUUAGUUAUAAUUUCUGUUUUGAAAGCAGUAAUUGAGGUGUCCCAGUUCCUCCUAAGUUU
rnacentral:tRNA from 2 species